rnacentral:rRNA from 1 species
CAUAUGCUUGUCUCAAAGAUUAAGCCAUGCAUGUCUGAGUACAGACCGAUCUAAGGUGAAACCGCGAAUGGCUCAUUAAAUCAGCUAUAAUUCCUUGGAUAGUGAAAAACUUUCCUCGGAUAACUGUGGAAAAUCCAGAGCUAAUACGUGCAACUGAGCUCCGACCUCGGCGUGAGUCGUGGGAAGAGCGCAUUUAUUAGAUUCAAAACUGACCGGUGUACUCCUUCGGGAUACGCCGUUUGUCAAAAGUUUGAUGAUUCCGGAUAACUUUAGCCGAGCGCUACGGUCUUUAGUACCGGCGCCGUAUCUUUCAAGUGUCUGCCUUAUCAGCUUUCGAUUGUAGGUUAAACGCCUACAAUGGCUGUAACGGGUAACGGGGAAUCAGGGUUCGAUUCCGGAGAGGGAGCCUGAGAAACGGCUACCACAUCUAAGGAAGGCAGCAGGCACGCAAAUUACCCACUCCCAGCCCGGGGAGGUAGUGACGAAAAAUAACGAUGCGAGACUCUUCCGAGGCCUCGCAAUCGGAAUGAGUCCAUUUUAAAUCCUUGGACGAGGAUCCAUUGGAGGGCAAGUCUGGUGCCAGCAGCCGCGGUAAUUCCAGCUCCAAUAGCGUAUAUUAAAGUUGCUGCGGUUAAAAAGCUCGUAGUUGGACUUUCUAGAUCCAUUUCGUGGAUGAGUCGCUCUUUGUACUAGCGUCUCGUGCCGUCCCCUAGUGACGUCGUCGCGUGUUGUUCUUUCUAGGCCUCUGGUCGAUUGAGGAUUUCCCGGCGUUUCAGAACUUUGUGGGCGUCGAGGCGUUGUCUUUGAGUAUAGCUCGUCCGCGUUUGGUACAAUUAAAAUUUUGUCGGCUCGCUCGGAGUGCUCUUUACCGAGUGUUCCAGGGUGGCUGACACGUUCACUUUGAAAAAAUUAGAGUGCUUAAAGCGGGCUUAUUUACGGCCUGAAUGUCUGUGCAUGGAAUGAAGUAACAGGACCUCGAUUCUGUUGUUUUUGUCGGUUUUAAUGAACCGAGGUAAUGAUUAAAAGGGACAGACGGUGGCAUUAGUAUUGCGGCGCUAGAGGUGAAAUUCUUGGACCGUCGCAAGACUAACUACUGCGAAAGCAUUUGCCGAGAAUGUUUUCAUUAAUCAAGAACGAAAGUUAGAGGAUCGAAGGCGAUCAGAUACCGCCCUAGUUCUAACCCUAAACUAUGCUAACUAGCGAUCCGCCGGAGUCAUUCCCACGACCCGGCGGGAAGCCCCAGGGAAACCAAAGUCUUUGAGUUCCGGGGGAAGUAUGGUUGCAAAGCUGAAACUUAAAGGAAUUGACGGAAGGGCACCACCAGGAGUGGAGCSUGCGGCUUAAUUUGACUCAACACGGGAAACCUCACCAGGCCCGGACAUCAUUAGGAUUGACAGGUUGAGAGCUCUUUCUCGAUUUGAUGGGUGGUGGUGCAUGGCCGUUCUUAGUUGGUGGAGUGAUCUGUCUGGUUGAUUCCGAUAACGAACGAGACUCUACCCUACUAACUAGUCGGCGGAUCGUAACCCUGAGAUGGUUAGUUUGUAUAGGAGAGUUUUGCCUAGGCGAAAGAUCUUGUCGAGACGUAGGUAGUUGCUCAUUAGCUAUUUGCGAAGAGUGGCCCUGUGUCCGGUUUGUGAUUUUGUCGAAGCGAMUUUCUGAUUGCUGCUACUGCUGGGGGCGUCCGUCGCAAUAUAUCUUCUUAGAGGGAUCAGCGGCGUAUAGCCGCACGAGAAAGAGCAAUAACAGGUCUGUGAUGCCCUUAGAUGUUCUGGGCCGCACGCGCGCUACAAUGUAGGGCUCAGCGUGCUUUCCCUCUCCGAAAGGAGCGGGUAACCCGUUGAAACCCCUACCCGAUUGGGAUUGGGGAUUGCAAUUAUUUCCCAUAAACGAGGAAUUCCCAGUAAGCGCGAAUCAUUAAUUCGCGCUGAUUACGUCCCUGCCCUUUGUACACACCGCCCGUCGCUACUACCGAUUGAAUGAUUGGGUGAGGGCAUCGGACUGGCCCUUCGGUUUAGUAACCUAGACCUUAGGCUGACGGAAAGAUGUCCAAACUUAAUCAUUUAGAGGAAGUAAAAGUCGUAACAAGGUUUC